GGGAGAGGGAGAGGGAGAAGAAGGGAGAGGGAGAGGGAGAGGGAGAACCUUUUUAGUUGAGGAACUGAGGAAAGGCCAAACUGCUCUGAAGAGAUCAGAGUUUAUGGUUACUCUGGAUACAACAGAAAUGAGCUGUGCAGCUUAUCUUCUGCUUGUCUGACAGAACCAUGGCCAAUUCUUUUCCAUCCUGUCCUUUCUCCUAGAAAGCUGACUGACUCUCUAGCACAUCAUUAAGCUGCCUGAUCCUCUUGCUUAUGACAGGCCUUGGACAGUAAGGAGUCCCCAAAGGAACCUAGAAGACAGCACUGCAUUGCCUCAACGCUGGUGGGAAAACAGUAAAACUCAGACAGAAAGCCCUGGCAGGUCUGCGUGUUCGAAGUCUGAAAUCAAGUCUCUAAGGAAGACUCUGCAGUACAUUGUCUUGGUUUCUGGAAGCUGUUAUCCUGGCUUGUAGACCCAUCACUCCAGUUUCUACCUCUGUCUCUGGCUUGUAUUAUUGUCUCUGUGUCUUUGUACUUUAAAUCUCCCUCUGUAUUUUUUUUUUUUUGAGGACACCUACCACUAGAUUCGUGACUUACAUGAAACCCAGGAUGAUCUCAUUUUGAGACUCUUAACUAGACAUGAAAGGGGCCUUUAAAGAAAAAGACAGUUAUACAAUGUCUGGGUUUUAGAACUUAUGGGUUUGAGAGCCACCAUUCAACCUGCUACAUCACGUUGUAGAAAUUUUCAAUCCCAAUCCAGGGUUUCUAUCCUGCCUUUGACCACUUAGUUCCUGGAUAAGAGACACACACAGCCUUUAUAUUUACAACACACAAGAGCGGGCAGAUAUCUACCCUCUAUGUUAUUAGAGUGUCAUCUCCUAUAGAUAACUCUGUUAUUACUUACUAUGUUUUGUCUGGGCUGCUCUCAACUCCAAUUGGCCAGCCCUUAGGGCCACAUUUUCAUGGACUCACCUAACCCAUGUCAGCUUCUCCUUCCUCCUUCACCUUCUUUUCUCUCCCUCAUGGUUCGCCUCUGGCCCCUCUACCACCCCCAGGCCCAGGAAC
rnacentral:lncRNA from 1 species